GACGAACGCUGGCGGCGUGCUUAACACAUGCAAGUCGAACGGAAAGGCCCUGCCUUUGUGAGGUGCUCGAGUGGCGAACGGGUGAGUAACACGUGAGUAACCUGCCCUUGACUUUGGGAUAACUUCAGGAAACUGGGGCUAAUACCGGAUAGGAGCUCCUGCUGCAUGGUGGGGGUUGGAAAGUUUCGGCGGUUGGGGAUGGACUCGCGGCUUAUCAGCUUGUUGGUGGGGUAGUGGCUUACCAAGGCUUUGACGGGUAGCCGGCCUGAGAGGGUGACCGGCCACAUUGGGACUGAGAUACGGCCCAGACUCCUACGGGAGGCAGCAGUGGGGAAUAUUGCACAAUGGGCGGAAGCCUGAUGCAGCAACGCCGCGUGCGGGAUGACGGCCUUCGGGUUGUAAACCGCUUUCGCCUGUGACGAAGCGUGAGUGACGGUAAUGGGUAAAGAAGCACCGGCUAACUACGUG
rnacentral:rRNA from 1 species